CACCUCUAUGAUACUUGACUGUAUUUUGAGCUAUUAAUGUAGUCACCUCUAGAUACAUUUCAUAAACAGAGAUAUCAGUAUAAAAAUAUUUUUAAA